AAAUUGAAGAGUUUGAUCAUGGCUCAGAUUGAACGCUGGCGGCAGGCCUAACACAUGCAAGUCGAACGGUAACAGGAAGCAGCUUGCUGCUUUGCUGACGAGUGGCGGACGGGUGAGUAAUGUCUGGGAAACUGCCUGAUGGAGGGGGAUAACUACUGGAAACGGUAGCUAAUACCGCAUAACGUCGCAAGACCAAAGAGGGGGACCUUCGGGCCUCUUGCCAU
rnacentral:rRNA from 1 species